GAUGAACGCUGGCGGCGUGCCUAAUACAUGCAAGUCGAGCGAACGGACGAGAAGCUUGCUUCUCUGAUGUUAGCGGCGGACGGGUGAGUAACACGUGGAUAACCUACCUAUAAGACUGGGAUAAUUUCGGGAAACCGGAGCUAAUACCGGAUAAUAUUUUGAACCGCAUGGUUCAAAAGUGAAAGACGGUCUUGCUGUCACUUAUAGAUGGAUCCGCGCUGCAUUAGCUAGUUGGUAAGGUAACGGCUUACCAAGGCAACGAUGCAUAGCCGACCUGAGAGGGUGAUCGGACACACGGGAACUGAGAAACGGUCCAGACUCCGACGGGAGGCAGCAGUAGGGAAUCUUCCGCAAUGGGCGAAAGCCUGACGGAGCAACGCCGCGGGAGUGAUGAAGGUCUUAGGAUCGUAAAACUCUGUUAUUAGGGAAGAACAUAUGUGUAAGUAACUGUGCACAUCUUGACGGUACCUAAUCAGAAAGCCACGGCUAACUACGUG
rnacentral:rRNA from 1 species